CCAGUCUGGUGCCAGCAGCCGCGGUAAUUCCAGCUCCAAUAGCGUAUAUUAAAGUUGUUGCAGUUAAAAAGCUCGUAGUUGAAUUUCGGGGUUAGUAGGUUGGUCGUGCCACUGGUACGUACUGGUCUCACUGACUCCUCCUUCCUGAUGAACUGUAAUGCCAUUAAUUUGGUGUUGCGGGAAACCGGACUGUUACUUUGAAAAAAUUAGAGUGUUUAAAGCAAGCUAACGCUUGAAUACAUUAGCAUGGAAUAAUGAAAUAGGACGUUCGAUCCUAUUUUGUUGGUUUCUAGGAUUGACGUAAUGAUUAAUAGGGAUAGUUGGGGGCAUUAGUAUUCAAUUGUCAGAGGUGAAAUUCUUGGAUUUAUUGAAGACUAACUACUGCGAAAGCAUUUGCCAAGGAUGUUUUCAUUAAUCAAGAACGAAAGUUAGGGGAUCGAAGACGAUCAGAUACCGUCGUAGUCUUAACCAUAAACUAUGCCGACUAGGGAUCGGAUGAUGUUAAUUUUUUAAUGACUCAUUCGGCGCCUUACG
rnacentral:rRNA from 1 species